CCAGCCGGGCAGGCUAGAAUACCUGCAUAAAACUCCAAGCCAUCAGAACAUAUAAGAACACCACACAACUUCAGGCAGCACAAGAUUGUGGUUCUGGACUAAUCAUCAGUAUAGCCUGCAUAUAGCAUGGGAAGGAGAACAUGCUUGUCAGGAGCAUUUCAGAUUAACUAAUCUAGUAUCAUCCUACUCACCUUUCCUCCAGGUCUCACGCCACAAGCACCAAGGUUAAAUUACUGGAAGUUGACAAGAAAAAACUUGGUCAAAGCACAUAAAGCGCACACUCCAGCUUUUCCUCUAUCAGGAUUUACUACAAAUUGUAAAUUGAGAAAGCUCACUUGAGAAAACGACGGCGUGAAAGGGUAUUACCUAGAAAAAUGCCAAAUCCAAGAGUCGAAAUCUAUUUUCCCUCUCGUCUUGUUGAGUUCCCUCUCUAUCUGCUGGAUAGAGUUCUUCUUCUCUGUUAAACCCUUUGUCUUCAAUCUUCAGUAGAUUACCGUCGCCAUGUGAACGGCAAUUCUUCAUCAUCUCCUUCUCUUCUUGUUCUUCCCAGGCCUAAUCACUUAACCCAUACACAUCUAAUCCUAUUUCUAUCACAUAAGUCAUUGUUCUGCGGGUUUCUGUUCUACUCCCUUGUGGUUUUCUCUGUUUCUCCAUCUGCAUGUCGAUAUUUCUUAGGCUCCCGACCUUCAUCUGUUAAGACAAUACGUCCUUUCAUCAAUGGGUACUGAAGAUGAUCCAGAUGCAUCUCGAGUUGCUGCACUUUGUCAAAAAUUGGGCCGAUUAUGCACAGAAAAAUCAAUUGAAGAAUGGCAAGUUGAACCCCCACCUGGCGCAGUCGAGGAGUGCAAGCUACUAUUAAUUGGUAAAGUUCCUUCCAACCCUUCCUUCAAUUUCCCAGCUUUCCAGUCAGUCUUGAAGAGGGCAUGGAGGUCAGACCAAGCGGAAAUUCUACAGAGAGAAGCGGGAAUUUAUUUAGCCAAAUUUAAGUCUCAAGCUGAAAAAUAGAGAAUUCUCGAUACAGGCCCUUGGCAAUUCUCCGAACAUCUUAUAAAUUUUAAACCCUGGGUAGCCAACACCCCUCUGCACUGCUAUGAUUUCUCUACCUGUGCAUUCUGGGUUCAAGUAAUUGGGUUACCGUUAGAAUGUUGUACCGAUGAUAUGAUACGCAAGGCUGUUAGUUCUGUAGGCCCUGUUCUGCAAGUUAAGUCUGACUUUGCUACUGGUUCCACCCUGAAAGCAGGCCGUGCUCGAGUCGAGUUGGAUUUAUCUGAACCAUUGAAGGUAGGUCGACUAAUUAAAUUCAAAAAUCAAACUCUGUGGUUGGAUUUUCGUUAUGAAAGGUUACCUCAUUACUGUUACUCUUGUGGACGAUUGGGCCAUUAUACAGACUCUUGUCCCACCAUCCCUUUUGAGGAGAACAUGUUCACCGAUGCUGCUAAAACUCCUUACUGUCCCUAGUUAAAAGCUGAAGUUCAGCAGUACAACCCUUACUGGAAGUGUUACUAUGGACAAUCAAUUAUGGAGGAGGAGAGAGAGGAAACCAUACCUGAAACACCUCCCACUGAUAUUUGCCCUCUCCCUCUUCUUCUACCACCUAUUCCUAACACAACCUCCUCUCCACAAAAGGCUACUCCGAUCACACCACAGACUGAUACCUUGGCCAUCACUCCUUCAGUGCAACAAACUCUUACCACCGCUUUGAUUCCAGCAUCAGAGAAGCUUAAAGGAGUGCAAUUGCCGACAUCAGCUCCUCAAGUAAAAAAAGGCAAAAGUAUUCAUCAGAAUAUUAAAAUAGGCUCUGCUAAGAAACCGCAGUGCUAUACUCCCUAUGACUUUCCAGGAGGGCAACAGGGAGUCUAUGAUGACUCCUUCUUGUUGGAUACGCCAAUUAUAGAGGCUUCUGAAGAUGGUUCGUGGGCGACGAUGGCUGGCCCUAAACAGUCACCAAAACAACGAUGAAAAUUAUAAGUUGGAACUGUCAGGGUUUGGGCAAUCCCCUGAUAGUCCUAUCCUUAAAAGCCCUUUUGGCUAAAGAAAAGCCUGACCUGUUAUUUUUUAUGGAGACGAAAAAUGUUGAUGAAGUUCUCCUUCGCCUGAAACGGUCCUUUCGUUUUUUUGCACCACAAGCUGUUUAGCCAUGUUGGCUCUGCAAGUGGCUUAGCUCUUUUUUGGAAUGCUGGGAUCUCGUUGUUAGAUUUCUCCUCCAAUCCGCAUUUUUUGGAUUUUAUUUGUCUGGAUAUCUCGGAUGCCAGAUCUAUGCGGAUUACUUGUAUUCAUGCACCUGCAGUUUAUCAUGACCGUCAGCAUCUUUGGCAGACCUUGCGACAAUUUGGUAGCUAUAAUGUCUUACCUUGGGUGUGCCUUGGCGAUUUUAAUGAAAUUCUUCACCGAUGGGAGAAAAUGGGAUCUUGGCCAGCGGACUCUUAUCGACUUUCUUCCUUUCGAGAGGUCCUCAAUGAUUGCUGCUUGUUGGAUCUACCUUCUCAUGGUUGUGCUUUCACUUGGUCCAAUAACAUAGAUGGGGAAGCCUUGGUGAAGGAGCGUCUAGAUCCAGCUGUAUGUACUGCUGAAUGACGUCACUUACCCGAAUGCUCAAGUGCUGGCUCUCCCUGCAGUAGGAUCAGAUCAUGGCCCACUUGUUUUAGAUACAAAACCCUGUUUGAGUCGACAAAAGAGACACUUUACCUUUGAAGCUUUAUGGAAUCAGGAUCCGGGCUGUUAAUCAGUCAUUGAAACCUCUUGGCACUCUGUCUCGAGGAAGGACUCUCCUCUCCUAGUCAAGCUUCGCGCGGUUGCUACAGCCUUCUCCACUUGGAGUCGCCAGAAUUUCUCCCACAACAGGCAACAGGCAAUGGAAUUAGAGCACCAGUUACAAAUUUUGACAAAUCAGCACCCUACUUUAUUGAAUCAAUCUCGGCAACAAAUGAUAAAAACAGAACUUCAGAAAGCAUGGUAGAGGGAAGAGCAAUUUUGGGCGAUGCGAUCUAGGAUAAACUGGUUAAAGUGGGGAGACCGUAAUACUAAGUUCUUCCAUGCUACCACACUUCAAAGAAGACAACGAAACCAAAUUACUAUAUUGAGGGAUGAACAUUAGCAAUGGGUUAGGGAUCCUGGACAGAUCAAAGAAAUGACUACCGCCUAUUUUUCACAGCUUUAUACAACUUUAGGAUCUCGCCCUUAUGCACAGAUUUUAGAACAGUGUCCACAGAUGGUUAAUGCAGAAAUGAAUACAACACUCCUCGCUCAAGCACUCUUGAAGAAGUUAAAGUGCCACAUUUCAACUAGGUGCUUCAAAAGCACUAGGCCCGGAUGGUUUAAAUGGACUAUUUUAUCAGUCGCAUUGGGAAAUUCUUAAAGUGGACAUUCACAGAGCAGUUCAGCAAUUCUUUACAUCUGGAUCAUUACCUCUACCUUUAAACAGAACUGCUAUAACCCUAAUCCCCAAAACCCCAAACCCAUAAAGCUUGGAUCAUUAUCGUCCUAUUAGCUUGUGCAACUAUGCCUACAAGAUUUUCUCUAAAGUGCUAGCUAAUAGAUUAAAAUCCCUGCUGCCUACGCUGAUUACUGAGGAACAAAGUGCUUUUGUUGCUGGAAGACAGAUUCAGGACAAUGUUCUAAUCGUGCAAUAAGUCAUUCAUCAGCUCAAGACUAGGCAACGGAGGCGUCAUUUUAAAGCGAUUCUUAAGUUAGAUAUGCAGAAAGCUUAUGACCAUGUUGAAUGGGACUUUCUUCAAGAUUAUUUACUUCGAUUGGGCUUUCAUUCCCAUUGGGUCCACCUAAUUAUGCAGUGCAUUUCAACUACAUCUUUCUCUAUCAAAAUGAAUGGUGGGUAUUUACCGAGUUUCCACCCAACUCGAGGGCUGAGGUAGGGAGAUCCCUUAUCCCCUUACUUGUUUAUCCUUAUAGCAAAUCUCUUAUCCUUCCUAAUUAGAAAUGCUAUGGAUAUGGGCUUACUCAAAGGCAUUAAGCUAAAUCAAUGGUGUCUUACUUUAUCACAUCUCUUUUUCGCUGAUGAUGCUGUCUUCUUUCUUGAUGGUACCUUGCUGGAGUGUCAAAACCUAUCUAAUAUUCUAAACCAGUAUUGCCUGGCAUCAGGACAAACUAUUAAUUGAUAUAAAUCUGGAAUUUUCUUCAGUCCUUCUUGCCCUAUCUCUCUCCAGGAAAAUUUGGCUAGUGAAUUAAGGGUACCUGUUUUACAGCGAUGUGGGAAGUAUUUAGGGAUACUUACUGAUUGGGGAAGAUCUAAAAGGGAUAUGUUUUUUUUACUGUUGAGCAGAGUUCAAUCGAAACUAGAAGGGUGGAAGGAGAAACUAAUUUCUAAGGGAGGGAAAGAAGUUCUGUUAAAGACUGUCAUUCAAUCUAUUCUGCAAUAUGCCAUGUUUGUUUUUAAGAUUCCUAUCUCAUUAUGUAAAGUUAUUGAAAAGAGAAUGGCUAAAUUUUGGUGGAGUAAUGAUACAAGCAGAUCUGGAGUUCAUUGGCAGAGUUGGAAAACUUUACAGAAGCGAAAGGCACUAGGUGGAUUGGGCUUCAGAGAUUUCGUGAGUUUUAAUCAAGCCAUGCUUGGUAAGCAGGCAUGGCGUCUUAUGCAUCAACCAUUAUCUUUAUGGGGCAAGUUUUUUAGAAGUUUAUAUUUUCACUCAUCCACCUUUUUUAAAGCUGACAAGGGCUCUCGCCCAUCAUGGGGCUAGCAGAGCCUCUUGAGCGGGAGGGAUGCUAUUUUACUAAAUGUUAGUUGGUCUGUGGGAGAUGGAAAAUGCAUCAAAAUAAGAGAAGACAGAUGGCUUCCUAUGGGAAUUCUAGGUGGACAUAAAGCCCCAGAAGAACCUAUACUAGUAGCUGAUCUUAUUGAUCAGGCUACCAAUUCAUGGAAGAUUGAUUUAUUGUACAGAUUUUUUGACUUGAAAAAUCAUUCAACAGAUCACAGACAUCCAACUCAGGCCUAACUUCACUUCAGAUGCACUUAUAUGGACAUCAAUUAAACAAGGAACGUUUACGGUCAAAUCAGCAUAUCAUGCAAUUAUUCAGACACGAUCAGGUAUCCCAAAUUCUGGUGCUUCAACAUCAUACCAAAUCCCUACCUGGUUAUGGCGCACUAUCUGGAAGAUGCCUGCUGCACCCAAACUCCGUGUAUUCCUCUGGUCCAUCUGUAGCAAUGCCUUGGCAACGAGAGACAACCCGUAUCGAAGACAUAUAUUAGAAAGUCCCUGCUGCCCACUAUGCAAAAAUAAGGUUCCAGAAACUUUAGAACAUAUGUUCUUACUCUGUUCGUGGACUCAAUAGGUGUGGAAUCAUUCCCAGAUCGGGAUCUCAAUCAUUCUCAACAAUAUUCAGCGUCUGGACUCAUGGAUCGUGUUCACAAUUGGGGAAGGAAACCGAUUAUCUCAUCUGGCGUUUAUUUCUCAUGUCCUGUGGCAGAUUUGGCGAGCCUAGAAUGGCUUCAUUUUCAGAGGAACUUCUCCCAAUCCGACGCAGGUGGUAGAAGCGGCACUGACUCACGCUCAGGUAGAUCGGUUAUCUUCGGCUUCCUACACGCAUCAACAGCUCUCGGUCAAAAACAAAUCUCAUCUCUGGCACCCCCCAGAUCCCGGGGUUCUGAAGGUUAAUAUAGAUGGAUCAUAUCAUCAGGGAAGCAAUCACGGUAAUAUAGCUUGUAUUUGCAAGGAUCAUCAAGGCUGACUUACAGAUGGCUUCUCCAUAGGGGUUGUGGCAUUCUCGGCUCUGCAGGUUGAGAUCCAAGCCUUAUCCUUCUCGCUCCGCCAUCUUCUGCAACAAGGGCUUCAAAACGCAAUGAUAAUCAUCGAAUCAGACAAUCUCACUUUGGUGGACACAUUGAAUCGCUGCACAUUGCCGCCAUGGACGGAUCGCUCUCUCUUCUCAGAGGCAGCCUUCCUGUUAACCCUAUUCUUCAAUCUAACACUAGGGUUCUGUCGAAGAGAAGCAAAUGUGGUAGCCGACUGGGCCUGUAAGGCCCAUACUAGCAAUAGUUUGACUUGUAAUUGGGCCCUUCUUUCGCCCCCUCCUCUCUUGAACCUGUUAAGCGCAAACGCUAUAGCCGCUGGUUGUAUGGGUUAUUCCUAUUAAUACAAUAUGAGUUUCCGUUCAAAAAAAAAAAAGGGUACUACCUAUAAUGCCCUCAUUUUCUUGAUAAGGACAUCGGAAUCGAUCAAAUGGCUUUCAAACCACCGAAUCUUAAUUCCAUCUAAGUUCACUGAUUUAUCAUCAAAGACCCCGCUUCUCCCUUUCUCUUUCUCUGCGCUUGUUCUCCCUCCCUCUCCCUCAACACCCAAGAGAAAAAAAAAAUAUGAAGUUCGAAAGCCAGGCUUCUUUUCUUAUUCUCAUGCCAUCAAAGGAAGGUUGCUUGUAUCUUGUAAUUGAAUAGCAGCAUGUAUGUGCAAGAUCCUUGUUUUUGCAGUUUUCCAGGAAACAAAAUGAAUAUCUUGUGCAAUCAUCAUCAAAUCUGCCAAACAUCUAUAAUAUUAAUCCAUUUCAUCAGCAAAACAUUUUUCAUGCAUUUAGCUUGGUUAAAUUAAUUAUAGGAGCACUCUUGAACUAAUGGCAACCUUUUGGACAAUAAGUCCAAUUUGGUGAAUAGAAGACUACUCAAAUAAUUUGUUUAGUGUAUGUCUCGAAGUAUUGGCUACAAUCGGAACGUGAUUGAUCUGAGACACAUUUAAUAGUUUUUACUUUUUAGAGACAAAAUUUUGUUAUCGAAUCAACAUCUCUUUUCUAAAAACGAUGUGCUUGGAACAAAUACUUACACAAAUCCACCGAUAAGAAAAUCAAUCAACUUAUUUGCUAUGUUGAAACCAUACCAUGUCAUUGAAACGUAAUAAUCAAGGAGAAGUAAUUCCAUCAAAUUAAAUAAAAUGGCGAACCGUAUUGAAACUGAAACGAUUAAUUUGUUUUGGUAGGUCGUGUCAUCUUUGUUUUAAUUGUCAAUCGUGCCAUAAGGGUGGGUAAGACUCUAGCGAUGGACACCAAUAAGGGAUAAUGUAACAUGUUGGAAUAAUGCUAUUGGGUCAUAUUAAUAAACUUCUCGACAACGAGAAUCAAGGAUUCAAUUUCAUUUGUGAUCCGGUUACAUCAGUUAUCACAUUGAGAAAAAGCACAAAUAGCUAAAACAAUGUAUGUGUCCCGUGAUCCAAAGAUUCACGUUAAGGAUGUGUUGGCAACUUGCCAAAUAGUAACUGAUUCUAUUUUUUUAUUUUCGGAAAUAGAUUUGGAAUAGAAUCAAUGAUUAAAAGAGAGUUGCUUUUUUGUUCUUGGGAACAAUUCUAGAAUCAAACCAAUCCAAAUUUCUUUUUUUUUUUUUCUUUUUUCUCUUCUUCUUUUCCUCUUGUUCUUCCUCCUUCUCCCUUCUUUUCCACCGUCGCCACCGUUGUUGUCGUUCACCACUGCCGAUCGCCGGCGAUCGGUUAGGCGAGGUCUGAAGACUUGCCCAAUCACUGCCAAGCCUAGUCCCUCCCCUAACCACUAACGAGCCUCGCCUAGCUGGGUGAGGCUCAACCUCGCCGAGCCAAGGCUUAGUCAAGCUUCAACCAGUUCCUGAUGAGGCUUGACCGAUGAGGCGAGGACUCACCGGGGCAGGCGACGCUCCGGCGAGGCCACCGGCCCUCGUUUGGCUAGUCACUGAUCAUUCUAAGGUUGACAAUUGGCCAAAGCUUGAAGAAGAAGAGAAAGAAAAUUUAAAAAAAAAAAAGUAAAAAAAAUUAUUAAAAAAUUAAAAGAAAAUGUUUUGGAUUAGAAAUUUUGAUGAUGGUACCAAACGCAAUUCUAUUCUAGGAAUAGAAAUUUUGGGCAGUUACAAAACGCCUUCAAAUGCUUAGAAAUUAUUCUUAGGAACAUAAUAAAAAAUAAUCAUUUCUGAUUAGAAAUUAUUUCUGAAAUUAAAUGGUUAUCAAACAUACCCUUUAGUCUUUUGUCUUGGUUUAUCCCAUUACUUUAUGCUUCAAUUUCUCUACAGACACAGUCUGCAAACAAUUCUUUUUGUCAUUAUAUUCUCCUCAAAUUUAAUUUUUUUUUAAUCAAAAACAUGUAAUCUAUAUUCACAAAUUAAAAUGGCACUCAAAUGACAAUACAAGAUGACUCAAGAUUCAUGAUGAAACACUUGAGAGUUUCUCGAUGAACAUAUGCUCUUGCGGCACAAAUUUAACAUGUAAAAUAACACUCAAAUGCAAUGACAUGAACAUGUACUCAAACCUUAUGACAUGAAGUUUAAGUGUCAAAAAGACAUUAUCACAAAAUUUAGACUCUAAAUGUCUCAAACAAGCAUGGUAAAAUGCAUAAAUGACAAGAUUUCAUUUUAGCAUUGAUUUCACAGAAUGUGCACAAUUUCAGCCAUCUUAAGUCGUGCAUAAAUCUUAUGAAAAUCCCACAUAUAGAAUAUGCAAUGAUGAACGUUUCUCGUUAAGGAUUCAAAACCUAAAAGGGACCACACAAAUCACAGCAAAAAUGACAAGACAGAUAUGUACAUUUAAACUAUAUACCGAUGCGGCACAUUUUCACCUUAAUUCAUGCAAUUAACUCACUUGCCAAUGUCAAAAUUUACAAAGUAUGCAUCAAUUGAACAUAUGUAUCAUAUAUUUCAACUUUCAUGAAGGAUUUAAAACCAAAUAAGUGUAUUUGUUGACUCGAUUUCAUCAAAACAGAAUUAUGACCAAUGCAAGAUAAUACUGUUUUAUGUUCAGAUUAAGUGAUUUUGACCUCGUUAAACAUGUUUAAAAAUUUCGAAAAAAAAAAAAAAACACAUGACAUGUACUACACUAAUACAAGCAACUUUCAUGAAGGAAAGUCAUUCCAUAACUUAAUACAAAAAUCAAUAAAAAAAAAUGGCAAAAUCAGAUAUCAUUACGAAACAAAUUGACCUAGGCUUAGAUCUAAGUAGAUCUGACCUAGUUAAGUAGGUCCAAAAAUCAUGAAAAAUUACAGGAUGUGCUCAAAAUAAUUUGGAACAAAACUUAUCAAGGCAAGAUUGUCCAAAAAUCAUCACAGAAUGUUACACAAAACUAGUAAAAUCUCAUUUCGGAGUAAUAACAAAACCGAAAAUCUAACUGAGCUAUAGCAGACUUGCUCAUCUUCAGAGAUAUUUUUAGAGGGUCAAACGAUACUCAAUUGAGGUGUGCGGCCUAUCAUUUUUCGAUCAUUUUUCGAAGCUCAGGAUGUCUAUUAUCUAAUGACUCGAAUUGAAAUGAGGUCGUUUUGAACUUUGUUUUGGCCAAAGGUACAAACAUACAAAAAUUACAGAUUCAUAUUUCUAACACUCAAUCAUGUUCUCAAUCAAUCUUCAAUCUCAGCAAAUCAUCGAAUGAUCACAUAAGCCACAUAUCUAAACAUAUUUCAUAGAUCUACUCGCGAAUCCUAGCCCCAGUCGAAUACGCUGACCUCGCUUCAUUGGAUUCGAGUUGAAGAUUUUUACCUUUCUUGUGUUCUCGUCAAUUAUUUGUACGCAAUCAAACGAAGCCUUCAUCGCCAGAGCUCAAACGACACUUCGAAGUUGACGAAUGGACGUCGUGGAUCACCAAGGAAGCGGCUGGACCGUCGAUUUAGGCGCCAAAACAGAACCGGUCCAAUUGGACCGGUCCUCGCGCUUGCCGGAGAAGAUCGGUCACCGGAGAUGCUCCGACCGUCAAUACUCCAAUCCCUGACCACGGUGAGGUCAGCAACCACUGGAGGGAUAGGUCAGCGUGGGUAGGUGCGCCGAUCGAAGUCGCCGGACCUUCAGUUCAAGCGGUGGAAAAAAAAAAAAAAAAAGGUCUAUAUCUGACUGGUUUUGGACCUCCAGGAUGAAGAUCAGCCACCGAAGACAGAUCCAUGGCUGUUUGCUCAAUCCCUGACCUCUGGACAGUCGGGGAUACAAUUGAAAGCAGUUCGGGAAUGGCCAGAGGCUUGGGGAAACGGCCGUUGGACGUCUAUCAAGAAGAAAACGGCGCCUAUUCCACCGCCGGCUCAAACGCCUACGACUCCUGAGCUGUGAUCAAGUCAGAGCAGAGACGAUUAGGAAUCACCAGAGGAGAUGGCAGUCUUCAAUACACCGGAAAGCAAGUGAGGGAGGCCGGUGGAGGUUGUGGAUAGAGGUGCUCGACCGACGAGGUUCCGAUGAGCGGCGAUUUAGGAGCAGCAAGAGAGGCGACGUGAGAAAGGUGGUGGGAGAGAGUGCAUGAGUGGGAAUCAGAGAGACAGAGAGAGAGGAGAGAUAAAAUAAUCCCAUAUCUAGUUUUCUAUAUAAAAAAAAUCCGGCCCCCCUUUUCUAAAGAGAAAAAUCCUAUUUAUAUGUGUUUAAAGGAUGGAAUCCUAGCCCUUCGAUUGAUCUAAAGGCUAAAAUGUCAUCUCAUUUUUAACGAAUCCUAGAUAACAUCCUAAUUAGGCAUAUGUUAAUUUCAAUGGUCAUGAUGCAUUCUCAAUGAAUGGUGAUGAUCUAAUAUUGAGGUAAUGGAUUAGUUGGGGUCCUUUUGUAAUUUCACCAAACUUGGGGGCAAAUUUAGAAAUUUCGUAAAAUCCGAGGAAAUUUUUGAAAUUUGAAAAUUAAGGGCAUAAAUGCAUUUUCCAUGAAGUGGGUUAGCUGAGGGUGGUUUCCAGCCAAAAAAUGAUAGGAAAAAUUCGCCAGUCAACACCGAGUUGACCGGGUUGAAUUUUGUGUUCGAAU
rnacentral:lncRNA from 1 species